rnacentral:rRNA from 1 species
AUUGAACGCUGGCGGCAGGCCUAACACAUGCAAGUCGAACGAGUGGCGGACGGGUGAGUAAUGUCUGGGAAACUGCCUGAUGGAGGGGGAUAACUACUGGAAACGGUAGCUAAUACCGCAUACCAUCGGAUGUGCCCAGAUGGGAUUAGCUAGUAGGUGGGGUAAAGGCUCACCUAGGCGACGAUCCCUAGCUGGUCUGCGAGGAGGACCAGCCACACUGUAAAUGAGACACGGUCAAGACGCCGACGGGAGGCAGCAGUGGGGAAUAUUGCACAAUGGGCGCAAGCCUGAGGCAGCCAUGCCGGGUGGAUGAAGAAGGCCUUAGGGUUGUAAAGUACUUUCAGCGGGGAGGCGUUACCCGCAGAAGAAGCACCGGCUAACUCCGUGCCAGCAGCCGCGGUAAUUC